GCACAACCCAUGGCUGCGCUGGGCCGCGCGAGGCUGAGGUGGGCGCUGCGAGGGGCCGGCCGUGGCCUCUGCCCCCACGGGGCCAGAGCCAAGGCCGCGAUCCCUGCCGCCCUCCCCUCGGACAAGGCCACCGGAGCUCCCGGAGCCGGGCCUGGUGUCCGGCGGCGGCAACGGAGCUUAGAGGAGAUUCCACGUCUAGGGCAGCUGCGCUUCUUCUUUCAGCUGUUCGUUCAAGGCUAUGCCCUGCAACUGCACCAGUUACAGGGAAGGACACCACUGGUACCAGCUGCGCCAGGCUCUGAACCAGCGGUUGCUGAAGCCAGCGGAGGCAGCGCUCUAUACGGAUGCUUUCAAUGAGGUGACUGAUGACUUUAUGACUCGACUGGACCAGCUGCGGGCAGAGAGUGCUUCGGGGAACCAGGUGUCAGACACGGCUCAACUCUUCUACUACUUUGCCUUGGAAGGUACCGUUGCUGGGAGAGGGGCUGGGGAAGGGAAUGGGUCAGGGAGAGGUUGUGCUCCCUCUCCUCAAGGGCUUCUGGAUUCCAUAUGUCCUGGUUCUGCCUCCUGUGAUGGCCUCUGUGCACUACUCAGCUAUUUGCUACAUCCUGUUCGAGAAACGCAUUGGCUGCCUGCAGCGAUCCAUCCCCGAGGACACCGUGACCUUCGUCAGAUCCAUUGGGUUAAUGUUCCAGAACUCACUCUAUGCCACCUUCCUCCCCAAGUGGACUCGCCCUGUGCUGCCUUUCUGGAAGCGAUACCUGGAUGGUUGGAAUGCCAUCUUUUCCUUUGGUGAGGACUCCCAGAUUGGGCCCAUGGAAGAGAGAUGGGGGUGACUCCAGGUCUGUGCGUCAGCAGUCUCUCUCAGGCCUUUUCCCUCAUGCUACCAGUUGUUGGAGUGGCUCUUGGUCCUUGGAGAUCAUGACUUUUGGCUUUGUCCUUUCCUCUUCUCUGUUGCUCUCACAGGGAAGAAGCUGAUUGAUGAGAAACUUGAGGAUAUGGAGGCCCAACUGCAGGCAGCGGGGCCAGAUGGCAUCCAGGUGUCUGGCUACCUGCACUUCUUACUGGCCAGUGGACAGCUCAGUCCUCGGGAGGCCAUGGGCAGCCUGCCUGAGCUGCUCAUGGCUGGAGUGGACACGACAUCCAACACGCUGACAUGGGCCCUGUACCACCUCUCAAAGGACCCUGAGAUCCAGGAGGCCUUGCACGA
rnacentral:sRNA from 1 species